rnacentral:sRNA from 1 species
AACUGGCUAAGGGUGCGAAGUUGUGGGUUGGUGAGAGCGUGGAGCUUCUGAAAGUGUUGUGUGAGGUUGGAACAGGUGUGUCACGAAUACUGCUGUCAGGUCAAGCCCAAAUAAAUUUAGCAGCGGAGACAACUGGCGAGCUGAAGUGCCAGAACUAUCCAUCCCGUCUUCUCCCCACUGCCUCUGGGGUGUAACAAGAAGCUAGUAACAAGCAAAAA